rnacentral:rRNA from 1 species
GUAGGCGGUUUGUCGCGUCUGUCGUGAAAGUCCGGGGCUUAACCCCGGAUCUGCGGUGGGUACGGGCAGACUAGAGUGCAGUAGGGGAGACUGGAAUUCCUGGUGUAGCGGUGGAAUGCGCAGAUAUCAGGAGGAACACCGAUGGCGAAGGCAGGUCUCUGGGCUGUAACUGACGCUGAGGAGCGAAAGCAUGGGGAGCGAACAGGAUUAGAUACCCUGGUAGUCCAUGCCGUAAACGUUGGGCACUAGGUGUGGGGACCAUUCCACGGUUUCCGCGCCGCAGCUAACGCAUUAAGUGCCCCGCCUGGGGAGUACGGCCGCAAGGCUAAAACUCAAAGGAAUUGACGGGGGCCCGCACAAGCGGCGGAGCAUGCGGAUUAAUUCGAUGCAACGCGAAGAACCUUACCAAGGCUUGACAUGUUCUCGAUCGCCGUAGAGAUACGGUUUCCCCUUUGGGGCGGGUUCACAGGUGGUGCAUGGUUGUCGUCAGCUCGUGUCGUGAGAUGUUGGGUUAAGUCCCGCAACGAGCGCAACCCUCGUUCCAUGUUGCCAGCACGUAAUGGUGGGGACUCAUGGGAGACUGCCGGGGUCAACUCGGAGGAAGGUGAGGACGACGUCAAAUCAUCAUGCCCCUUAUGUCUUGGGCUUCACGCAUGCUACAAUGGCCGGUACAAUGGGUUGCGAUACUGUGAGGUGGAGCUAAUCCCAAAAAGCCGGUCUCAGUUCGGAUUGGGGUCUGCAACUCGACCCCAUGAAGUCGGAGUCGCUAGUAAUCGCAGAUCAGCAACGCUGCGGUGAAUACGUUCCCGGGCCUUGUACACACCGCCCGUCAAGUCACGAAAGUUGGUAACACCCGAAGCC